GUGCUCACUUCAGCAGCACAUAUACAAAAAUUGGAACUAUACAGAGAUUAGCAUGGCCCCGUGCAAGGGUGACACACAAAUUUAUGAAGCAUUCCAUGUUUGU
ensembl:snRNA U6 U6 spliceosomal RNA